CUCUGAAAAAAAUUUAAAAAAACUUGACCAAAAUUCCAUAGCAAUUGAAUUCAGAUUCUCUUGAGCCCAGGACUUGCUCACACCAUUUCUCUGGAUAAAGGUUAUUAAAGUGGGAAAUUACCAAUACAGAGUCAAGUAGAAAUAUAAGAGUAUUUAAUAGGGAAAAGUCUUACUUACAGAGCAACCUAGCCAGCCGGUGCGGCAGCAGUCUGUACAGCGAGCCAAAAAGGAAAACCGAAAGUGAAACACAGCCCUGAACCUCUCACUCUACGUCACCCUGACCAUGCCCUAGCAGGCAUGGUUAGGCAGACCUGUAGCCAGCCCCUAAGUAGGCGUGGCUAAGGUUCCCCUACAAUUCCCCUUUUAGUCUAAAAGAGGAUUAAAACUUAACAGUGUAAAGUAUCCAAAAUUAACAAUUACAAAGGUGAAAUUUAAGAAGAUACAACAAUCUGCUCAUGUCACAUCCUAUCUAUCUAUUUUAACUAAACCCUAAAGUCAUCUGAAAGAGGUGUCCAAGCCUGAAUACCUCCUUCCAAUCCCAAUCAUAAACAAUAGGAAGCUAUCCCUAACUAGUUAUAUACACUAUCCUAAAUGACAACAAUGGGGAAAGGGGGCAUAGCAUCCUCCAAGUUACUUCCUGCUGAAAUGGGACGACUACAUCCUUGUGCAGUCCUGUAGGAAAAAAAAUGUUAGUAUAGUAAAAGUCUUGCAUGAAUUGUAUACAGUCCAUGUUAGAUGGGAUUUGGUUGAUUGAAGAUCUCACUUGAAAUCCUCAACUUGAUUGAAGUCAGUACCUGAAGCUCUGGCGGGAGUGUCAGUUGAAAUGGAGCAAGUUGAAUCUAGUGCAGGCGAGGAGGUGUGGCCCAUUUUCUUUCCGGGGUAUCCAGGGAUUGCUGUCAGGGAGGUCUUCAUUGGCUGCGUGGGACUCAAACAUAAACAGUUAUCAGAGAACUGUUUGCUUGUGAUGUACACAUACUGGGAAAGGCAACCAUGGGAGCAUAACAAUUAUGAGAGGGUAUACACCUUGAAAGUAAGAUCCAAGAAACGACAAAGACAGUUCCCAAAUUCUUCUUUUAUUCUGUAUUACAUCAAUUGCCUUCUUGAUACAAUACAGAAACUCUGAAGUUUAGUUAAAUAAUGUGCUUGGAUUUUAGAGGGGGAAAGCCAAAUCCACCUCUAAAUCCAGCAUUGGUUUAAUUGAAUAGGGACUAGAAAAGAGAAAUAGAAUUCUCUGGGGACAGCUGUAAAGUUAACCAUAUGGCACCUUCCUUUUGUUUGAUGGUUAUAGCUACCUUCUCUUCUUAAGUAUCUACCCACAGAGUGUCCUUUGCCUUCUGGAGAUGAGAUUUCCUGUGAAGAUAAAAGCAAAACACUUCCCUUUCCUUUGGGAGGUUUCUAUUUAGUUUAUAAGAUAUACCUUAGUAGAAUAACUGUCAUUUCUCCUCGUGGAGAGGUUUUUCCUUUUCAACUCGAAUCUUGAUCAACUUUGAUGGUAUCCAAAGUUUUUCUUCUCCUAUGGAAACCAAUGCAAAACCCCUACCCCAACGUAACACAUGUCCUGGAUUCCAUACAGAGGUUAGUACAUCUUUGAAGUAUACCGGCUGAUUCAGUUCAGCGGUUUUCUCCAUAGUCCAGUGUCUUUCUGCAGCUGUUUGUCCUUUUUCAUUGGCAUUAAGAAAGUUUAGUGUUAAUAAAGCAUUAUGCAACCUAUGUUUGGGUGGUUUAGUCUUCCAAGCUUGUUUGCUGAGCAUCUCCUUAAGUGUUCUAUUAGAUCUCUCAACCACUGCUUGUCCCGUAGGAUUGUGUGGUAUACUGGUGACAUGCUUUAUGUUAUAAUAUUUGAAAAAUUGUUCCAAUUUUGUGGAGACAUAUGCUGGAGCAUUGUCAGUUUAUCUUAUUGAUUGUUAAAUAAGGUACUGUUUGGCCAAUGAGACAGCAAGUUAGAUAGGACUAGGAGUCAAAGAGAAUUCUGGGAAAUGUAGUAGAGAUGUGGUGUUCCAGGCAGGAAGUGACAUAGCAAGGAGACAUAUUUAAGCAAGUGAAAGAGGAAGGGCUCCCCUUUUUCCUCUUUCUCCUCCAGCAGUGCAAUGUGAUCCACCGGCAAGGAGGGACACCAAUAAGGUGUCCGAUAAGACAAGAGUUGAAGAGUGAAUUGAUUUAUAUUUCCUUCAUUAGUACAUAAAAUUCGUAAGCCAUCAUCCAACAGCUGGUGGAAGUAAAAGCAGACACCCACAGCUAAACCUUGAAUUGAACUGAAAUCCAGUUGCAGAGAAGGAGGACUGAUGAGCAAAGGGGUCCAUACCAGGCUGGUGAAACCCACAGAAACAGCUGACCUGAACAAGGAAGAGCUCUUGGUCCCCAGACUGAUAGCUGGGAAACCAGAAUGGGACUGAUCCAGACCCCCUGAAAGUUCUCACGGUAUCAUUCAAGGAAUUGAAAAAAAAUACACACACAAAGAAGUAUCAAAAAUACAGAAAAAUUAUCAAGAGCAAAGCAAAGUUUCAUAUUUCAGAUAUACUGCCAGGAGAGCCCGUGAGCUAGUUGAAUGAAUGAGAAGUCCAGGUAUGUGUUCUCUUUUGUGGAUUCUAGAGGAAGGAGGGAGUAGUUGCUAAGGGGGAUAAUUUAG
ensembl:lncRNA